GGAUUAGAUACCCUGGUAGUCCUAGCUGUAAACGAUGAGAACUAGCUGUUAGAAUGUUAAUUUUAGUAGCGCAGCUAACGCAAUAAGUUCUCCGCCUGGGGAGUACGGCCGCAAGGCUAAAACUCAAAGGAAUUGACGGGGGCCCGCACAAGCGGUGGAGCAUGUGGUUUAAUUCGAUGCAACGCGAAAAACCUUACCUACUCUUGACAUACUUGGAAGCUCUUGUAAUGAGAGUGUGCUUUUAGAGCCAAGAUACAGGUGCUGCAUGGCUGUCGUCAGCUCGUGCCG
rnacentral:rRNA from 1 species